ensembl:snRNA U1 U1 spliceosomal RNA
AUACUUACCUGGCAGGGAAGAGACUUGAUCACCAAGGCAGUUCUCCAGGAUGAGGCUAACCCAUUGCACUUUGGUUAUGCUGAUGCCUGCGAUGUACCCGAAUGUGGGAUAGUCGAUUGCAUAAUUUGUGGUAAUGGUGGACUGUGUUCACGCUCUCCCCUG